rnacentral:rRNA from 1 species
AACGAACGCUGGCGGCGUGCUUAACACAUGCAAGUCGAACGCGAAAGGGACUUCGGUCCUGAGUAAAGUGGCGCACGGGUGAGUAACGCGUAGAUAACCUGUCUUCAUGUCUGGAAUAAUACGCCGAAAGGGGUACUAAUACCGGAUAUCUUGCUUUUCAUAAGUUAUGCAAGCAAAGGUGGCCUCUGCAUAUGCUACUGCAUGAAGAGGGGUCUGCGUACCAUUAGCUAGUAGGUGGGGUAAUGGCCUACCUAGGCGACGAUGGUUAGCGGGUCUGAGAGGAUGAUCCGCCACACUGGCACUGGAACACGGGCCAGACUCCUACGGGAGGCAGCAGUGAGGAAUAUUGCGCAAUGGGGGAAACCCUGACGCAGCGACGCCGCGUGAGUGAGGAAAGGGCCUUCGGGUCGUAAAGCUCUGUCAAGAGGAAAGAAGUGUACAAUGGCUAAUACCUGUUGUAUUUGACGGUACCUCUAAAGGAAGCACCGGCUAACUCCGUGCCAGCAGCAGC